GAAGUUGCUGAUAUAGUUGACUGAUAAUAAUUCCUUGAGGGCUGUUAUUGUUACGCAGUUUCUCAUUGGUCAAUAUCGUGCGUUCAACCGUGAAUUUGUCAGUUCCCUUUUUGCAUAUGUAGCAGAAGCUGUUAGCUAACUGGCAUUGUCUUCUUGCUUGUAUUGUGUGCAGACGUGUUUUAGAAAUUUUGCUUGAAAUUAAAUUAAAGUUCCACAGUAAUACGAGUACUCAGAUAUAAUAAAAGGAUAUAACAAUGGACAUGAGGAAUGAUUACACGUAUUCAAGUUAUUAUAAGGUAAGCACUUUAUAUAUUUAUCUUUUAACUGAUAUAAAUUGUUUUAAAUAUAAAAUACUCUAACAUUUAAUUUGCAUUUGCAAACAGACUUAUAUUUUAUGAAUUAUUUCGCUAAAAUUAUUCGGGCAAGUGAAUUUGAUACAUAGUUAAACGAAUAACAAAUUUUUGUACUGGUUGCCACAUUUUUCUUUUUAUUUCACAGCAUUUGUGACCAUGUUUACUUUAUUAAUUUAAAAAGAUGACAAUAUAACUUUAAUUUAAAUACUUCAAAGAUAUGAACUUUGAAACAUAUAUUUGAUACAAAAAAAUGAAUUAAUACGAUUACAGCAAUUUAUUCAUUUUUGUGGAAAUGUAUCGCGGUAAAUGUGCUUUAACUAUAAUUGCUAGUAAAAUAAUGUGCUUGUUCUCACAAAAAAGGUCUGAGAACACUAAAUCUAAAUAAACAAAAUCAUAUAUGCAAUAAAAGUAAUUACGUAUUGUAAGCCUUACUUAUUCGGCUUAUUCUAUGAUAUAUUAUUAAAAGUGUUGUUAUGCCUCUUAAUUUUAGUCGUAUUUGCAUUUUACUAUUAAGAACAAAUACGUGUAAAAAUUUAAAAGUCAUUAGAUACUGGCAAAGCGUACGUGCUUUAAUAAAACAUAAAUCUCGUAUAGAAAACUUCAAAUGGGUUGAAUAUAACUAUUUUUUUUUCUUAAUUUAAACUAAAUCUUCAGAAAUACGUUUAACAGGUGCUAGGAUAUAUUUAUCAUGACACCGGAUUUUGUAACAGGUGCGUGUGUAAACCUUUCAUGACACCGGUUUCUGAAACAAGUGCGUGGAGAAAUCUAUCAUGACACCGGUUUCUGAAACAGGUGCGUGGAGAAAUUUAUCAUGACACCAGUUAAUGUAAACAGGUGCGUGGAGAAACUUAUCGUGACACCGGUUUUUAUACUCUACAGACUGCAGCUGACAUUAAAUUGCAGAAACAAAACACAAAAUAUACAUAAAAAUACUCGUUUGACAAAGACUGUGUAUCCAUGUCAUCUGUCUCUAGGGACUGAUCAGAAUGCGAAGCACCUGAUUCCCAUACGGGAUUCAUUAUCAAGCAUCAGAAACAUCAGAUUCAUCAUUACUGCUUGAGCUAGAAUCAUCUGGAGGUAUUACAUAGUUAACCCUUCGUCUUGGAUAACCUUUGACAGCUUUACGUUCGGGCCAUUCAGCAAUGUCAGCAAGCCUUAUCUGAUCUGCAUGUACUUGAACAACAGAGCUGUCAAGCUGGUUCUUAAUAAGGUAUGUGACUGGACCUUUUUGUUCAAGAAUUCUGUAAUGCGAUUUCCAGCGAUCUUCAAGCUUG